CUUCCUGGUUAUACUCAACCAUCACAACCAGUCCUGCCCAAGAGACAAGAGCCUUUCCUGAAAAAUUGGUGUGGCUGACAUACACCAUGUCAGAUUUCUUUCAUCCUCCUAGGAUGUAAGGCUUUUCUGGCAAACAGGAGACCUGAGAACACUGAACCACUAAGUUCAAAGGACAGAGUGGGCAAGACGCAGAGUCAGAAGCGGGGAAGGAAACUGAUUUCCUCUCUACAAAAUCAUGGUGAGUCCCAUGACAGAGAGAGUCACCAAUGGCAACUACUGUUUUGAGAAGAAAAAAUAUUGCUGGGGAAUAAAUUAUGUAAGGAAAAUUUGUCCUUGAUUUUC
rnacentral:lncRNA from 1 species